UGCAGCGACGCCGCGUGCGGGAUGAAGGCCUUCGGGUUGUAAACCGCUUUYAGKAGGGACGAAAAUGACGGUACCUCCAGAAGAAGCCCCGGCCAACUACGUGCCAGCAGCCGCGGUAACACGUAGGGGGCGAGCGUUGUCCGGAUUUAUUGGGCGUAAAGGGCUCGUAGGCGGUUCAGCAAGUCAACCGUGAAAACCCGGGGCUCAACCCCGGGACGCCGGUCGAAACUGCUGUGACUAGGGUCCGGUAGAGGUGAGUGGAAUUCUCGGUGUAGCGGUGAAAUGCGCAGAUAUCGAGAGGAACACCAGUAGCGAAGGCGGCUCACUGGGCCGGUACCGACGCUGAGGAGCGAAAGCGUGGGGAGCAAACAGGAUUAGAUACCCUGGUAGUCCACGCCGUAAACGUUGAACACUAGGUGUGGCGGACUUAUCCACGUCUGCUGUGCCGCAGCUAACGCAUUAAGUGUUCCGCCUGGGGAGUACGGCCGCAAGGCUAAAACUCAAAGGAAUAGACGGGGACCCACACAAGCGGUGGAGCAUGGGGUUUAAUUCGAUGAUAAGCGGAGCACCUCACCCAGACUUGACAUCCUGAGAACGUUCUAGAAAUAGAACCGUGCCGUAAGGAACUCAGUGACAGGUGGUGCACGGUCGUCGUCAGCUCGUGCCUUGAGGUGUACUGUUAAGUCAGCAAACGAGCGCAACCCACAUCCUAUGUUGCUU
rnacentral:rRNA from 1 species